AGAAAGGCUGGGAAAAAGAGGAGUAUGUCUGUACUGCCAAAAGAGAGAAACGUUCUCAGGCUGAAAGACGUUUCGGGAGAAGGCAGGCAAAAAGUAGCUUUGGAGCCGGGGGAUUGAAGGUGGACACUGUGUAGAUUCCCACGUAGAAUUCCGCGUUAAGGAAUGGAAAGAUGAAGUUUGGGAAAACUUCAAAGAAGGUGGUACCGCGUUUUUUAUCGCCCUUCAC
rnacentral:ncRNA from 1 species